CUUCACAGGAAGGGUCCUGUGAUGGCCAUGACCCCAGUGGCCAUGUGGCUGAGGCCCUGGGCAGUGGCUUCGUGACUGAAAGACCCUGAACCCAUCCUGAAGCCCCACAGCUUUUUCUCCACCUCAGAGACUUUCCAGGGCUCAGUCUUGCGGCGGCCUCGUGGCGUUCGGGAGGCAGUGGGUGGACCAUGAAUGUGAGUUAGGAAGCAGAACUGCCCACCUCCGCAAUGGGUGCCCAGGAGAGCGAACACAGGAGCCGCUCCUCCAGGCGUCAGCCCCCCUCUGGAAUGAGUUCAACAGCAAGGUACGGUGAGAGCUGGCAGCUUCAUUUUUGGAACCGGGGGCGGGGGGGUGGGCAGAGAGACAGAGAGAGGUUUAUGAGAGUCCUCAUGAGACAGCUCAUGAUGGAAGUGAGCCUGAGCUGCAGUGAACCCUGUCGCUGAAGAGACAGCCUUCACACCUGCAGGGGAAAAUACAACUCUUUAUUAAAAUUUAUUGCCCUGAAAAA